rnacentral:rRNA from 1 species
AUUGAACGCUGGCGGCAGGCCUAACACAUGCAAGUCGAGCGAGCGGCGGACGGGGGAGUAAUGUCUGGGGAACUGCCUGCUGGAGGGGGAUAACUACUGGAAACGGUAGCUAAUACCGCAUACCCUCAGAUGUGCCCAGAUGGGAUUAGCUAGUUGGGGGGGGAAUGGCUCACAAAGGCGCCGAUCCCUAGCUGGUCUGAGAGGGUGACCAGCCACACUGGAACUGAGACACGGUCCAGACUCCGACGGGAGGCAGCAGUGGGGAAUAUUGCACAAUGGGCGAAAGCCUGAUGCAGCCAUGCCGCGUGUGUGAAGAAGGCCUUCGGGUUGUAAAGCACUUUCAGCGGGGAGGCGUUACCCGCAGAAGAAGCACCGGCUAACUCCGUGCCAGCAGCCGCGGUAAUUC